CGUAGCCGCGGGAAUACGAAGGGUGCAAGCGUUAAUCGGAAUUAUUGGGCGUAAAGCGUGCGUAGGCGGUGAGUUAAGUCUGCUGUGAAAUCCCCGGGCUCAACCUGGGAAUGGCAGUGGAUACUGGCUCGCUAGAGUGUGUCAGAGGAUGGUGGAAUUCCCGGUGUAGCGGUGAAAUGCGUAGAGAUCGGGAGGAACAUCAGUGGCGAAGGCGGCCAUCUGGGACAACACUGACGCUGAGGCACGAAAGCGUGGGGAGCAAACAGGAUUAGAGACCCCUGUAGUCCCUGUCUCUUAUACA
rnacentral:rRNA from 1 species